rnacentral:misc_RNA from 1 species
GAUGAAGAACGUAGCGAAAUGCGAUACGUAAUGUGAAUUGCAGAAUUCAGUGAAUCAUCGAAUCUUUGAACGCACAUUGCGCCCGCCAGUAUUCUGGCGGGCAUGCCUGUUCGAGCGUCAUUUCCACCAUCAGGCCCCCGGGCCUGUGUUGGGGACCUGCGGCUGCCCGCAGGCCCCGAAAUUCAGUGGCGGUCGCGCCGUAGCAACCGAGCGUAGUAACUAAAACGUCUCGCUCUGGCUCGCUGGGCGCGCUCCGGCCGUAAAACACCCCCCCUUUUCGCAAAGGUUGACCUCGGAUCAGGUAGGAAUACCCGCUGAACUUAAGCAUAUCAAUAAGCGGAGGA